GGAAAUUUUGAAAAAUACAAUAAGAAGGAGAAACAACAAAAUUAUGAUAAAAAUAAAACAGUAGGAAGAGUCCCGACAAAACCUCCUC
rnacentral:rRNA from 13 species